CAGUAGCCACGGGAAUACGUAGGUGGCAAGCGUUGUCCGGAAUUAUUGGGCGUAAAGGGCUCGCAGGCGGUUUCUUAAGUCUGAUGUGAAAGCCCCCGGCUCAACCGGGGAGGGUCAUUGGAAACUGGGAAACUUGAGUGCAGAAGAGGAGAGUGGAAUUCCACGUGUAGCGGUGAAAUGCGUAGAGAUGUGGAGGAACACCAGUGGCGAAGGCGACUCUCUGGUCUGUAACUGACGCUGAGGAGCGAAAGCGUGGGGAGCGAACAGGAUUAGAUACCCGGGUAGUCCCUGUCUCUUAUAU
rnacentral:rRNA from 1 species